CAUUGUCAAAAAAAAAACAAACAAAUCAACGAAAACAUUUUCUGCUGCUGCUGGUUCAUUUUUAUUAAAAUACACAUCUAAUUGAGCACCGGAUUCAAAAUCGAUGCUUACUUGUGAUGCGAGGCAUUGGAAAUUGCAGUUCUAGUCGCUUCCAUCAAGCCACGAAAAUGUUGAGAACACC